CAAAAAUACAAGUUCACUAAAAAAGUUGAACUAAAAGUAGACGCCAAAAUGCGCCCUUAGUGUGCAGCCUGCUUUGUUCAGUACCACGUUUUCUUUGCUAGGCAGCCGGAAGUUUUCGCUGCUAUCAUCUGAAUGAUCAACACAUAAGGUUGUCAUUUCAAUGGGCUAAAAAAUCAACUGGAUAUCAGCACUAGCAUGUGGAAUAGUAAUUUUCUGUGUAAAAGAUGAAUUUCCAGAUCUCACCAUUUCUGCAGUGUUGUAUGUGAUAAGAACACCAAUCGCUGGAUGUCAAGAUGGAUAGCCAGACAACAGGAAUCAUAAACAAAUGACCAGAACACCACAUUGGAAUGCCCAUUCGUAAAUGAUGUUCAGUCCUGGCAUCUUCUGCAAUAGUAAUUGCACCUUAAAGAAAAUAUGUGUAGGUUAUAUAUAUAUGAGAAUAGUUAAUACGAGGUUUAACAUCUUGCAAUAAACUUAAUCUCGCUGACUGUA